ACAGGGCUGAGGGGCUCCUUGGCCCUAUAAAGCUGUUUUUCAGAUGGGCUGUGGGAGGGAGCUGCUUUCUAAUUCAUCAGGUCCUAAAGGGACUUUCACGUGAGAGAACUAAUCCAAACUCAGUGAUGGUGCAAGGGUACUUCUUACCUCUAGGGACAGUGCCUUUCACCUCCUGCCAUGAUUCUGAGGCCUCCCCAGCCAUGUGGAACUUCUUUUCCAAAGUGUGGUGUGAAGAGUACUGCUCCUGUAAAUUUAACGAAAUUUUCCAUGGGCAAGAAAAAAGGAACUCCUGAGAACUGAGAAAUGACUGUUUAAUGAACAAAGAGAGAAGUGACAAUGAGACUGCCCUGUCCAGAGACUCCCAAAUAAAGAAGGAGUGGGAAAGUGGAAUUAGCAAAGCUCUUGUAAUCAUAGCAACUCAUUUGAGAAGAGCUUUGGCAAUUAUCAAAGCAAUCCUUCCUGCAUUAAGAAGAAACUGUUUCCUGGAUGUCACUCGAGUGACUUUCUGGCAAGCCCCAAGUCAACCUAUUGAUCACCAAGAUCUUGCUUUCUCAAUUUGCUCUCUGUACUAUGGAUGAUAUGUUGCUGAAACUAGCCAAGAUGAGAAAAGCAGACUCAUAUUGCCUGAUUUGUAUAUGGAUCAAUUAAUAAAACUUUGUUAAGCAUUA
rnacentral:lncRNA from 1 species